UAUCUAUAUUUUUAGAGUAUAUACAUUUGUUAGAUUUAAUAGAAAAAGCGAUUGCGAUGCAUUCCUGUGUAUAGAAAACGAACGACUUUUUGUAGUAGAAAUACCCUACGAAUUAAAAAAAAUUGAAAACGUUAGGACCUAAUCAUAAGAAAGUAAAGUUAAUAUGUGGUUUGUGUAAACAAAUAAUGCAAAACCACAUAAAAUCAGACUCUUCCUUUUUACUGAAGGGUUGCAUACAUAAAUAUGUAAGGUAGUUCCUAAUUUCGUUUUAAAAUCUUCCGAGGUUCGUGUUGGGGUUACUCAAGUAUUACCUAAGCACAUUUUUAGUCUUUUUGGACCCUCCCACAGCCAGCCACCCCUCAACAAAUCUAUGAAAAAUGUUCUAAUGUAAUACUUGAAUUAUCUCUUACCUAUCAGUCUUAGUUUUGUCAAUCUGAAUUUAAAAUUAAAAAAAAAAUGACAAACGAAAAUUUAAAGGUACUUAAUUAAAUAUGAAUGCCACCAUAAAUUGUAUAAUUAAUUUUUAUGUGUCGCGUGCAUUAGGUUACUGUUUAAAAAUUUUUCGCUUUUGUGCGUACUAAAUAAGUAAAAAUUGCCAGUAUUCUAUAUUAACAAUACGCACGUAAUAUUUAUUUAUUAAAAAAAAGUUAACUUGUAACUUGACGAAUCAAUACCUAUUGUAGUAGUGGUAAAUGAUGUCGUAGGAAUAUAACGAUGAAUAAUAACGUAAUUAAAAUAUGCAUAAAAAAUGUCGAAUCUCUUAUUAAUCUUAAUACUUACAAAAAAUAUUAUUUUAUUUGUGUCGUAUAUUUAAUACUAUAAUAUAAACUGAUUAUUUUUUCGUUUUUAAAAUGUAAAUGUAAUCUUGCAGAAACGAAAAGUAUGUGAUAAAAAAUAAUUUGUAUUUAAUAUCGAAUAAUGGUUAAAAAAUCGAUUUUUAAGUUAUUGCAAUUUUACGAAGGGGAUCGAUUAAUGAAAUUAACCAUUUUCUUAUUAUUUCCAUUAAUAACAUACUAAGAAUAUUAAAAGAAGUAUUCUGCGAAAGAUAAUGAGAAUUUUGUAACUUUUUUAAAACAUUAAGGCUCCCCCUAAUCUCUAUUGUUAACUAGUCGUAGGAUUGUUUUUGUAAAUGUAAUUGUGCUCAGCUCGCGUAUCGGUUAGCUUUAAAUGGGCAUGAAGAAGUAGCAAAAUAAUACAUCUACGAUAUAUUUUUAUGGAAUACAUAUUAUUAUUGAUACCUAAUGUUAUAAUAAGAGAUAUAUUUUUGAUGACUUACGAUUAGUAAAGUACGCAAAAAAACUUAAGACUAUUUAGGACGGUUGAAGAUUUUGUUUCACGUUUCCUAUUUUUGUGUUUACUAUGUACAAUAUUUUUUAAUUGGGAAACUUGUUUAUUUUAAAGCAAAAUUUACAGCUGUCCAGCGGCAGUUGACCGAUUGUAAAUUGAAAAAUAUUUAUAUGCAUAUAUGUAUAUAAUAGCGUGUCCUGCGAGGUUCGAAAAAGUUACCACUGUUUCAAGAAAGUGAUAGUAUGUACCUGCAGUUCGAUGGUUUUGUUAGUUGAUAACAACUAAAAAUAAUAAUGUAAUACAUAAUUGCUUCUGUAAGGACGAAAUGUAUAAACAAAUAAACUUUGAAACGCUUCUUUAAAAA